ensembl:lncRNA
GCUGUUCUAACCUCCAGACCUGAGGGCGACUUCAAGGUGAACAACCUAAGGAGACGAGGCCAGAGUGUUUGUGACCAUCAAGACGCUGACGAGGCCAGCAAAGUCUGUGUCCAACAGAGUGUGAAGGAAACAGAGCAGCAGUGGAGGAAGGUUCUAGAAUCGGCCAAACAACUUCAAUCUGCAGCAGAAGCUGAGAUUUCUCAGAAUAGAGAAAGAACAAUGUUAGAGUGGAGAGAAUUUGACACCAAUAUGGAAGACACUGAGCAUUGGCUGGAGGAUUUUCUUCAACAGCUGGGCUCUGUGAGCAGCCGAGCUAAAGCUGAGGACAGACUGCGUGCAGCACAGGCCAUUGUGAACUCAGAGUCUGAAACCGAAUCCAGGCUCCAGAGGCUCGGAGCGCAGGUUCACAGUGUGUGCCGCCAGGACCUGGAGGAGCACAAGAAACAAGAAGUCAAACAGAAGGUAAAAGACAUGGAGGAGAGGUGGACCAGAAUCCUGGAAGCUGCCAAACAAGCCCUGAGUCAGGCGGAGAGCCGAUGCGCUCUUGAGCAUCAGCUGGAGGACCUCCAGACCCUGAGAGAAGACUUCAGGAAGUGGCUGGAGGAAAAGCAGCACAACUUCCUGCUCCAGGGCAGGCUGACUAAUCCAGAACAGAGCCUCAACAACGCAAAGGAUUUGCUGAGCUGCAAACCUGAUGGGGACUCCAAGCUGAUGGUGCUCAGGAGGCAAUGCCAGAGCUUCCUUGACCGGGAGGGGUUGGAGGAGCAGGAGAGGCGAGACGCUCUUGAGAUGCUGCAGGACUCAGAGGAGCGAUGGAAAACUGUGCUAGAGGCUGCUGAGAACUCUCUGCGCCGAGUUGAGGUUCGAUAUUCGCUGUCCAGGGAGCUGGAGGCUUUCUGCACGCAUGCAGGCAGCACUGAGAGCUGGAUUGACAGCCUGCAGAAACAAGUCGACUCCAUGAGGGGGGGCACUCAGGGCACCAGAGCUCAGAUUGAGGAACGGUUAAACGUUGCACAGAUCGUCCUGGGCUCCAGGUCCCAGGGAGACGCUCAGGUGACAGAGCUAAAGAGGAGAGCGCAGAGUCUCUAUGAAUACGAGGAGCUGGAGGAGGACAGAAGGGCGGAGGUGCAGCAGAGGGUGGGGGACAUGGAGGAGCACUGGAGGACACUUGUCCAGAAUGCAGAGGAGACGCAGAGACAGCUGCAGGGUCUGGUGGACCGCCUGGUGUCCUGUCAGUACAAGCGAGGACAGGCGGCGACCCGUCUGGCUGAGCUGCAGAAGCAGGUGUCCAACCUGCGGUGCCUCUUCCCCUGGCCAGGCCUGGGGGAGCGAAGGCAGGCUGUGGACCAGGCCCGUGCCCUGCUGGAGCAAAGCGCCGCCGUGGCGCCACUUCUGUCUGCUGUGCGCACCCAGGCUGCUGAGCUGCUGGAAAUCACAAAGGAUCAAAGCUGGGCAGAUCCCUGCUGGACAGUUGAGGGCGGAGCCAUCGCUGCUCUGCAGAGCGAGCUCAAUGACGUGGUGUCCCAGCAAGAGUGUGGCAUCGUGGUGGAGCGGCAGUGCACCCUGCUAUUGGAGCAGCACCAAGCAGCCCAGGUUUGGCUGAGGGAGCAGGUCAAAGGGCUGGGACCCCCCCCAGCAGACCGACAGGGUCUGCACAACGCUGUCAACAAUCUAAAGGCUUUGGUCCAGACUGUCACCAGAGAGCAGAGGGAGAUGAAGGAGCUGGACUCUGCCAGAGACAGUUUGCUGAGGCACUGCACCCCUGCAGGCCAGGAUGCUCUGAACCUGGAGGUCAGCCAGCUCUAUGACCUCCAUGCUGGCUCUGAGAGGGAGGUGAGGGAGCGGCUGGCUGCCUGUGAGCUCCGGCUGGAGGAGAGUGACCGUGAGCUGGCCAGGAUGGCCGGGGAGCUGAGGGAGAGAGCAGCAGCCCUGCAGUGGGAGCUGCGCUCCCUGGACCAGGCGCUCAGCUACAGUGAACCACAGAACAAUAUUGUUCAGCUGCAGCAGCACUGGCACAGCCUACAGGUGAUUGCUGCCGCUUUGCUCCUAUCAUACCUUCCUUCUGCAUCAAAUCGGUUUGAAAGCUGUGGGAUUUGGACUCAGAACCUUCUCAGUUUUUCUGUUCACUUCAGAAACGUUUGUGAGCUCAGUCAGAGAACCUCUCAAGAUAAAAUC